rnacentral:rRNA from 1 species
AUUGAACGCUGGCGGCAGGCCUAACACAUGCAAGUCGAACGAGUGGCGGACGGGUGAGUAAUGUCUGGGAAACUGCCUGAUGGAGGGGGAUAACUACUGGAAACGGUAGCUAAUACCGCAUACCAUCGGAUGUGCCCAAAUGGGAUUAGCUAGUAGGUGGGGUAACGGCUCACCUAGGCGACGAUCCCUAGCUGGUCUGAGAGGAUGACCAGCCACACUGGAACUGAGACACGGCCCAGACUCCUACGGGAGGCAGCAGUGGGGAAUAGUGCGCAAUGGGCGCAAGCCUGACGCAGCCAUGCCGCGUGUAUGAAGAAGGCCUUCGGGUUGUAAAGUACUUUCAGCGGGGAGGCGUUACCUGCAGAAGAAGCACCGGCUAACUCCGUGCCAGCAGCCGCGGUAAUUC